rnacentral:rRNA from 1 species
GAGGAAUAUUGGUCAAUGGGCGCAAGCCUGAACCAGCCAAGUAGCGUGCAGGAAGACGGCCCUAUGGGUUGUAAACUGCUUUUAUACGAGAAUAAUUUGAUGCACGUGUGCGUUAUUGCAUGUAUCGUAUGAAUAAGGACCGGCUAAUUCCGUGCCAGCAGCCGCGGUAAUACGGAAGGUCCAGGCGUUAUCCGGAUUUAUUGGGUUUAAAGGGAGUGUAGGCGGUUUGUUAAGCGUGUUGUGAAAUUUAGAUGCUCAACAUUUAACUUGCAGCGCGAACUGUCAGACUUGAGUACACGCAACGUAUGCGGAAUUCAUGGUGUAGCGGUGAAAUGCUUAGAUAUCAUGAAGAACUCCGAUUGCGAAGGCAGCAUACGGGAGUGUAACUGACGCUUAAGCUCGAAGGUGCGGGUAUCGAACAGGAUUAGAUACCCUGGUAGUCCGCACAGUAAACGAUGGAUGCCCGCUGUUAGCGCCUGGCGUUAGCGGCUAAGCGAAAGCAUUAAGCAUCCCACCUGGGGAGUACGCCGGCAACGGUG